rnacentral:rRNA from 1 species
GGAUUAGAUACCCUGGUAGUCCACGCCGUAAACGAUGGUCACUAGCUGUUUGGACUUCGGUCUGAGUGGCUAAGCGAAAGUGAUAAGUGACCCACCUGGGGAGUACGUUCGCAAGAAUGAAACUCAAAGGAAUUGACGGGGGCCCGCACAAGCGGUGGAGCAUGUGGUUUAAUUCGAUGAUACGCGAGGAACCUUACCAGGGCUUAAAUGUUAGGUGACAGAUCUAGAAAUAGAUUUUUCUUCGGACACUUAACAAGGUGCUGCAUGGUUGUCGUCAGCUCGUGCCG